rnacentral:miRNA from 1 species
GUAGCGCUCCUAACGGCAGAAGUAGGGGCUGUCUCUCACUCUGUUGCCUGCUUUUGAGAUCCUUUCCUCCC